GCACACAAUAUGGAUGGACAAUUACUAC
rnacentral:piRNA from 1 species